AAUGAACGCUGGCGGCGCGCCUAAUACAUGCAAGUCGAGCGAGAAGACGUAGCAAUACGUUUGUAAAGCGGCGAACGGGUGAGGAAUACAUGGGUAACCUACCCUCGAGUGGGGAAUAACUAGCCGAAAGGUUAGCUAAUACCGCGUACGCUUCUUGGACUUCGGUUCAGGGAGGAAAGCGAUGCCGAGGGUAUCGCGCUCUUGGAUGGGCUCAUGUCCUAUCAGCUUGUUGGNGAGGUAACGGCUCACCAAGGCGACGACGGCUAGCUGGUCUGAGAGGACGACCAGCCACACUGGGACUGAGACACGGCCCAGACUCCUACGGGAGGCAGCAGUGGGGAAUCUUGCGCAAUGGGCGAAAGCCUGACGCAGCAACGCCGCGUGGGGGA
rnacentral:rRNA from 1 species